GUGAGGAAUCUUCCACAAUGGGCGAAAGCCUGAUGGAGCAACGCCGCGUGAAGGAUGAAGGUCUUCGGAUUGUAAACUUCUUUUAUGAGUGAAGAAUAUGACGGUAACUCAUGAAUAAGCACCGGCUAACUACGUGCCAGCAGCCGCGGUCAUACGUAGGGUGCAAGCAUUAUCCGGAGUGACUGGGCGUAAAGAGUUGCGUAGGCGGUUAUGUAAGCGAAUAGUGAAACCUGGUGGCUCAACCACACAGACUAUUAUUCGAACUGCAUAACUCGAGAAUGGUAGAGGUAACUGGAAUUUCUUGUGUAGGAGUGAAAUCCGUAGAUAUAAGAAGGAACACCAAUGGCGUAGGCAGGUUACUGGGCCAUUUCUGACGCUAAGGCACGAAAGCGUGGGGAGCGAACCGGAUUAGAUACCCUUGUAGUCC
rnacentral:rRNA from 1 species